rnacentral:lncRNA from 1 species
GGGCUGUCGGUGUCACGCCCCCCUCGGUGCAACGAGGAGCAUCUGCGGCAGCUCAGGGAGCGAUCGCAUGAAAGAUGUAGAACCUUGUUCAACCUCCUCGCCCUGCUCCUCAUCACUCGCCUGUCUCUUGGAUUACGAUUCUUGGAUUUGCCCCUUUGGAUUCUGUUCGCAACAGCGCCGGAGGAACAACAUGACAGUCGACACUUUCAUCUGUUUUCAGUCUUAUUGUUUUCAAUCAUUUCUCACAUACAGCAGCUGCCUUGCUGGAAAAACGGGACUCGGCGUGUUUAUCACAUUUCAGAAAAGUAGUUCAUAUUUUCGCUCUUUUUCCUUCUACUGACGACCUUCACGGAUGUUAUUCAUAACUCUUGUUCGAGUGAUCAAUGACUCGUGUUUAGUGUUUCGAAGGAAUGGUCUCACCAAUGGGCCACGGGGGCUCGCCGCUCCAGAGUCCCUCGGAUGUCCCGAGUCUCCAGCACUUCUGUCAUUGGCUCUGUUUUCCAGCCCCUGCACUUCUAUUGGUCUUCUCUCGCAGUAUGCAAAUGAGGUCAACGAGCAGAGAGUGGGGCAGCCCCUGUCUUGGUCUGGGACUCGUUCAUGUGGAGUUCGUGCUGCUCUGGAGCUUCUGCGGCUGGUGGGCUAGGGUUGGGGGUGGGGACGGGGAUGGUGGAGUAGUGAUUCGUUGGAGUGGAACCGUCAGCAGGAUGGGUCGGGCAAGAGUUGGAGCAGAAGAGCGGCGGCUGCACCUGCUCCACCUCACACCAAAGCAGUGUAUCUUAGUUUUCCUGUGGGACGCCAAGUACGCUUCCGAAUGACAGAUUGAGCGGCAGCAGGUGGUGCGGCGGUCAUAGUUGCCGCUUCUAGACUUGAGAGCUGGGUCUGGAUCCCACCUCCUGCUGCAGUAGCCUUGAUCAAG